rnacentral:rRNA from 1 species
UACAGAGGGGGCGAGCGUUGUUCGGAAUUACUGGGCGUAAAGGGCGCGUAGGCGGCCCGCUAAGUCGAACGUGAAAUCCCCGGGCUCAACCCGGGAACUGCGUCCGAUACUGGCAAGCUUGAAUCCGGGAGAGGGAUGUGGAAUUCCAGGUGUAGCGGUGAAAUGCGUAGAUAUCUGGAGGAACACCGGUGGCGAAGGCGGCAUCCUGGAUCGGUAUUGACGCUGAGGCGCGAAAGCCAGGGGAGCAAACGGG